ensembl:lncRNA
CAAAGACCAAGUCCUUCUCCUUCACUGGUCUUUGUCUGAGAAACUCAAAGAAUAAAAUGGUGUAAGACCACUGAAAUAUACCCAAGCAGCAAAGCAGUCCCUUGUUCUUGGGCGAUCAGAAGACAGCGGACUUGAAUCACACUGAUUUUUAGCUUCCAAUGAUGUUUUGUUCUUCCCUUCAAGAAUGGGUUCAUAUUCCAUUCUCCAAAAUUGUGAUUUCUUCCUCCUUUAGAAGAGAAAGUCUAGAAGAGAAGACUCUUCUCUAAAAGCCUCCUUCUAGAAGCCUCUCUUCUCUCUCUGUUGGACUGUGCCACUGGCCAUAGGCAAGGAAAAGAUGCUACCACCACCUCUUAAGGAGGGCAGUCCAGCACAGCCACUCAGGUGCACACUCCUGUUCCCAUCAGCUGGGAGGACAUCAUGGCCCUCAACACCACACUUCUUCCACUGAG